ensembl:misc_RNA Metazoa_SRP Metazoan signal recognition particle RNA
GCUGGGUGUGGUGGCACGCACCUGUAGUCCCAGCUACUUGGGAGGCUGAGACGGGAGAAUCACUUGAACUCGGGAGGCAGAGGUUGCAGUGAGCCAAGAUGGCAACACUCACUGCACUCCAGCCUGGGUGACAGAGUGAGACCCUGUCUCAA